ACACACAAACGCACUCAUACACACAUACACAUGCAUACACACAAACAGCCUAACUACAAUACUAAACAAAUUUUUGAAAGAAAAAAAGAAACCACCUACAAUCCCACCACUUUAACACCUCAUUUAACGUUUGCAUACUUUUUGGUCACUGUUCAUUAUAAACAUAGCUUUUCCUCAUUAGUUAAUCUGUGUAAUGGAGAUAGAUAUGCUUACCUUUUAGGGCUGCCGGGAUCAUAUGUAAAGUUCUUAAAGGUAGUUGGGCACACAGUAUGCACUCAACUGAUUAUUUAUUUAUUUAUUGAGACAGGAUCUCACUCUGUCGCCCAGGCUGGAGUGCAGUGGUGCGAUUCUCGGCUCACUGCAGCUUCCACCUCCAGGGCUCAGGCGAUCCUUCCACCUCAGCCACCAAGCAGCUGGGAGUCCAGCUAGUUUUUUUGUAUUUUUUAUAGAGAUGGAGUUUCGCCAUGUUGCCCAGGCUGGUCUCAAACUCCUGGGCUCAAGCCAUCCACCCGCCUCGGCUUCCCAAAGUGCAGGGACUACAGGCAUGAGCCACCCAGCUCAUCCUACUCAAACAUUUAUUGAGUCCUUACUAAUAUGUUCUAGGCAACUUAUACUAUGAGUCCUCCAUUUUAUAGGGGGAGACUGAUGAAGAGACGACUAUCCCCAGACCGUAUUUUAACUACUAUGGCGCUGUGUAAGAAGCAACCUGAGAAGUGUGGAUGAAAAGCUACAGCCCAUAAAAACCCCUGGACUCAGCCAGACUCCGAUGACCAGAUGACCUGCCUUUGGAGAGGAGCUACCUGCUCCAGGAUCUCCUCUCUGCUGAGAGCUGGGCAUAAGUUGGGACUACCAGCUGCAGAGAGGAGCUGCCCACUCUAGGGUCUCCUCUGCUGAGAGCUGAACACUGUUGGGACAACCUGCCUGUGGAGAGGAGCUGCCUACUCUAGGGUCUCCUCUGCUGAGAGCUGAACACUAUUGGGACAACCUGCCUGUGGAGAGGAGCUACCCACUGUGGUUUCCUCUAAGCUGUUCUGUCACUCAAUCAAACUCCUCUUUGACUUGCUCACCCUCCACUUGUCUGCGUACCUCAUUCUUCCUAGACACAGGACAAGAACUUGGGAUGCGCUGAAUGCCUGGGCUAAAAGAGCUAUAACACAAAUGGGUCUGAAAUACACCCCUUGCUUACCACGUUGUGGGCAACAAGAAGGAGAGAGAGCUGCAGCCCUUCUGGGAGCCCAGACCUAGGAGCUCCCCAAGCCAGGGCUGUAACACCCUCUCUGGGGCUCUGUGGUUCCCGGCAUCUCCAAGCUUCCAAGUUCCACUGCGUUCCUCAGUGCCAGCCAUGGAAGCUGCUUGUGGUCCACCUGGUCCAGCCACAGCCUCACAGGGAGCUGGCGCCUGUGCUGGUGCUUGGAACUGCCUGCCCCACCACAGCCAGUGUGCCUGGCUGUGCUCAGUGGCCGGGCACCAUGCUUGCUCACUCACACACCCCUUGCUGCUCUGUGCCUGGCUCUCCCUUGGCAGGCAUGAGAUUCAGGCCAGUAGUGCAAGCUGAGCACAGCCUGCCAGGCUGAUUGGGUGGAACAAGCCCAGCGGGCCUAAGUAAAAACUCAGGGAAAAGCGCCACUGGCCACACAGGUUUCCGGCUGGUGAAGUGACACCCACAGGAUCCCAUGACAUCAGCUCACUGCAGCCUCAACCUCCUGGACUCAAGUGAUCCUCCCACCUCAGCCUCCCAAGGUGCUGGGACUACAGGCAUGCACCACCAUGCCCAGCUAAUUUUUGUAUUUUUUUGUAGAGAUGGGGUUUCACCAUAUUGCCCAGGCUAGUCUUGAACUCCUGGGCUCAAGUGAUCCACCUGCCUUGGUCCCCCAAAAUGCUGGGAUUACAGGCAUGAGCCACUGUGCCCAGCCUCAGAAAAGAAUAUUAAAGGAGUAGCUCUUGAAAGCCUAGAGUGGGAACAUCUAGGCUUUCAAGAGCUACUCCUUUAAUAUUCUUUGAGGGUGACAUCCCUCAAAAUCAAUCAUUUCCCUUCCCAUUCCCAUGACUGGAGUCAGUGGUUCUCAGUCUAGGCUAUUUAAUAGAAUCACUUGGGAAUGGACAUCCAAGUCCCACCUAGAUCAAUUUAAAAAAUUCUUUGGAAAAAUCCAAAGUGAAGGGAGGAGGAUGUGUGCCUGCUAGCUAUAAGUACUGAGCUGUUACUUCCACCAUCGUCUCUAUUGCUUUCCAAAGCCCAGCCCUCUCACUGGGGAGAAGCCAUGGUUUUAGUGUAUGUGCCAGAGAAUUUCCUCCAUUUAAAGGAGGUAUUUGCUGCUAAGGGGACACUGUAUAUAGAAAGACCAAGAAUGGAAUAUGAAUAAGAAGAGGUGCCUUCACUCUCAAAGAUCACAGAAGCAAACAGAGCUAUGUCUUGGAAAUAUGAAGGAAAGGCCUGUAUUCCAGACUAGCCCCAAGGGUGUGGGGUCAGAGAAAAUUUCUUCAAGCAGUUCUGGAGGCUGAAAGUCCAAGAUCAAAGCACCGGCAUUUGGUGUCUGGUGAGGGCUGCGCUCUGCUUCCAAGAUGAUGCCUUAUUGCUGCAUUCUUCAGAGAGGAGAAAUGCUAAGUUUUCAUAUGGUGGAAGGUAGAAAAAGAGCAAGAGGAAUGAAUUCGUUACAUGAAGCCAUUUUAUAAAAGCACUAAUUCUAUUCCUAAGGGAGGGGCCCUCAUGGCCUAAUCACUUUUUAAAAGCCCCACCUCUUAAUACUGUCAUAUUGGCAACACCUGAAUUUUGAAGAUACCCAUUCAAACCAUAACACUUGUUUUAUAUAUAUUUAAAUUGUUCUUUAAUAAAAUAUUUUACCUAACAAAAAUUCUGUGGAAGCCAAAGCAGUGGUAGUUAUUAUCUUUGUGAUAACAGUUUUAUUGAGAUAUAAUAUACAUACCAUACAAUUUAAGUAUACGUUUAUACAUAUACAAUUUAAAGUAUACAAUUCAGUGGUUUUAAGUAUAUUCACAGAGUUCUACAACCAUCACCACAAUCAAUUUCAGAAUAUUUCAUCACUCCAAAAAGAUAGUUGUAUCUGUAGCCACCACCCCUAAUCCUCUCAUCUUUCUUAUCCCUAGACAACCAUUAGUCUACUUUCUAUUGCUAUAGAUUUGCCAUACUGAACAUUUAAUAUAAAUGGAAUGAUAACAAUAUAUGGCCUUUUGUGUCUGGCUUCUUUCACUUAACAAUGUUUUCAAGGUUCAUCCAUGCUGUAGCACAAAUCAGUACUUCAUUUCUUUUUAUGGCUGAAUAAUAUUCCAUUGUAUAAAUAUGUCACAUUUUGUUUAUGCAAUCAUCAAUUGAGAGAGAUUUGGAUUAAUUCCACAUAUUUUUGGCCAUUAUGAAUAAUGCUAUUCAUAUGGCUAUAUGGCUGUUAUGAAUAAUAUUAUAAAAAUUCAUUUGCAAAUUGGGACAUCUAGUUCCUCCCCCAGUAUUCGCCAGCUGGUAUAUAGGGAUGUGGCCUUCAGACAUUUGAACUUGGGUCUUCAUUUCUCUUGGGUAUAUACCUAGGAGUGAAAUGACUGGGUCGCGUGGUAACGAUAUUUAAUUUCUCGAGGAGCAGUGGUAGUUUUAAAACUUCCCAGUUGAUUCUAAUGCAGAUCCAGGGCUGAAAAGCAGUGAUCUCAACGAAUGGUGAAACUCAGAAACGCACACUCUUGACAGCUUCAGGGAGACAUUUACAGGGUCCUUCUUAAGCCUUGGGGGUCCAUGUGGAACAAUGAGAUUGGUUCGCAACUGGCUUUCCUGCCAUACCCAAGACACAGUGAUUGCCAUCAGUAUGCAGGGAAAUGUAUCUUAAUGCUCUGCUCUCACCUCUAUUUGAUUCAACAUUUAUAAUAAUGACUUGUGGGAUGAAUAUCUGGAACAGGGGUUUUCAAAUGUUUUUCUAACUGUGCAACCCUUUCUUCCAAUAAAAUUCUCUGUGGAAACUAAACUCAAGGCUCUGUCUACCGGGUCUGUAGAAGUUUUCUGUCUUGCCCACCCACCCUGCCCCACUACUUCUGAGUCCUUCCUCAAAGCACCA
rnacentral:lncRNA from 1 species